AUUGAACGCUGGCGGCAGGCCUAACACAUGCAAGUCGAGCGGAUGAAGGGAGCUUGCUCCUGGAUUCAGCGGCGGACGGGUGAGUAAUGCCUAGGAAUCUGCCUGGUAGUGGGGGAUAACGUCCGGAAACGGGCGCUAAUACCGCAUACGUCCUGAGGGAGAAAGUGGGGGAUCUUCGGACCUCACGCUAUCAGAUGAGCCUAGGUCGGAUUAGCUAGUUGGUGGGGUAAAGGCCUACCAAGGCGACGAUCCGUAACUGGUCUGAGAGGAUGAUCAGUCACACUGGAACUGGGACACGGUCCAGACUCCUACGGGAGGCAGCAGUGGGGAAUAUUGGACAAUGGGCGAAAGCCUGAUCCAGCCAUGCCGCGGGUGUGAAGAAGGUCUUCGGAUUGUAAAGCACUUUAAGUUGGGGGGAAGGGCAGUAAGUUAAUACCUUGCUGUUUUGACGUUACCAACAGAAUAAGCACCGGCUAACUUCGUG
rnacentral:rRNA from 1 species